rnacentral:rRNA from 1 species
AACGCUAGCUACAGGCUUAACACAUGCAAGUCGAGGGGCAGCAUGGUUUUAGCUUGCUAAGACUGAUGGCGACCGGCGCACGGGUGAGUAACACGUAUCCAACCUGCCGUCUACUCUUGGACAGCCUUCUGAAAGGAAGAUUAAUACAAGAUGGCAUCAUGAGUCCGCAUGUUCACAUGAUUAAAGGUAUUCCGGUAGACGAUGGGGAUGCGUUCCAUUAGAUAGUAGGCGGGGUAACGGCCCACCUAGUCUUCGAUGGAUAGGGGUUCUGAGAGGAAGGUCCCCCACAUUGGAACUGAGACACGGUCCAAACUCCUACGGGAGGCAGCAGUGAGGAAUAUUGGUCAAUGGGCGAGAGCCUGAACCAGCCAAGUAGCGUGAAGGAUGACUGCCCUAUGGGUUGUAAACUUCUUUUAUAAAGGAAUAAAGUCGGGUAUGCAUACCCGUUUGCAUGUACUUUAUGAAUAAGGAUCGGCUAACUCCGUGCCAGCAGCCGCGGUAAUACGGAGGAUCCGAGCGUUAUCCGGAUUUAUUGGGUUUAAAGGGAGCGUAGAUGGAUGUUUAAGUCAGUUGUGAAAGUUUGCGGCUCAACCGUAAAAUUGCAGUUGAUACUGGAUAUCUUGAGUGCAGUUGAGGCAGGCGGAAUUCGUGGUGUAGCGGUGAAAUGCUUAGAUAUCACGAAGAACUCUGAUUG